CGCCUUAAUAUUCUCAACUAACUACCAAAACAAAUCGUAGCCGUUCAUCUCACAAAAAUCAUUAAUCGUGACCACCCGAUUCUCAAAGCCCAUUAUAAAAGAAGACGAGGGCUCUGAAAAGAUAAUCAUUCAUUCUUAGCCUCUUCUUUAUAUAUUUCUUCUCAUCGCUUUCUUUCUCUUCAAAUCUCAGAUCUGUUAAGCAUGGCUGGCCUUUCUUGCUUUUCUUCGUCUAAUUCGAUCGGAUCUCGUUUCGAUCUACGUUUUGGAUGUUGUUUCUUAUCGAAUCAAAGAUCUCACGACGUUGGAUAGAUUUGAUUUGAGGUUAUGAAGAUUUGCACGAGGUCUCUACUUGAUUCGAUUUCAAGGCUUCCUUUUCUUAUCUGGAGGCUUGCUUAUUGAUUACGACGGUUUAAUUCUUCAAAUCGUUGAUAUUAUUGGUCAUGCACACCUAAAGCAGAUCUUGCUGUGUAUCCUUCCAUGGAGAUACGUGGUUGAGUCACCUGUUUUACAGCAGACGAUUUUUCGAUCAAAAGUCUUGCUGUUCUUCGUCUUACGACGUUCACGGAGCUGAUCAGAUUCGGAUUUACUUACCAGGAAUGGUGGUUUAUCAUAUUUAGAGAGUUGUAUCAUCUUAUUUUGAUGGCGAUACUGUACGGCAUGUAUUGGUGUUUUAGCAACAAUAUAUUGAGAUGUGCAGGGGGUUUGGGGUGAUUUGGGAUCUGGGUUUUUAGAAGGAUGUAUAAGAUAUCGGCACGGAAGGUUCCAUGCGAGUCCUGAGUUCCGAUUCAUCUUUGUCAUCCGACCUUUGCCAUGACAGGUGCGCUUGCAUGGCAGGUCAAAAAUCUUAAUAAAAAAGAAAUAAUUUUUUGGUUUGGGGAGAAGAUCGCACGGGGUAUUUGCCCGGGGUCUUCUCUCUGGUGUGUGUGCUCUGUGUCCUGCUCUUUUUUUCUUUCUUAUUUUUGUUUACUCGCACUAUGAUUGCCCCACUUUACUACGCAUCGAGACGAAUAGGAUUGAAGCUCGCAUCCACAGAAACGCCAAGCAAAGGUAUAAUUUGCCCAAUUUAAUCUUAUUCAUUUACUUAUUUUGCGCAAGAAAAAACAACGACAAAUCAGUAUGAUUAGGAUCCCCUCGUAGUAAGUACUCAUGCAUAUUUGACUCUAUCGAAUCAGGCCAGAUUUUCAUAAAAUUGCUUAGUUUAUUGAUUGGUAUUUUUAACAAUUGCUUGUAGUUAUGCCAAUUGCUUUAUCUGGAGAUUGCUGAAAACAGUUCUUUCUGAAAGGUAAAUAAGAUACUAUUAAAAUAAGUAGAAAAUAGAAAUUCAUGAUUUAGCUAACAUUAUUUUGCCGAUUUCAUACGAUUUUAAAACACGGCUACGUUAUAAAAAUAAUUUACAUCAUAGGUCUCCCGCACAGGUAAAUUUUUGCAAACCUUUAUGCCUAUAAUUACUGUCUUUAAUCUAAUAAUCAUAUCGAGCCUGCAACUGACCUAUAACUAUGUAUCAAAUACUUUAAAUUAACUGUAAACCAUAUUUUUAAGUGUUCAUAAUUAUCAGUCUUGAAUUCAAUACAAGUUUGUAUCAACGUUUUUGUGUUGCGUUGAAGGUUUUGUAAGUUAUUUUGUAAUAUUUUGGCAACAUGUAGUUGUACAUGCUGGUCUCUUGUAAAUUUUUAGAUCCAUCUAUGGCUGCAAAGUCGAAGUUGUUCGAUAUGAAGCGGUCUCUACCCUAUCCUUGUUUCAGCGAAGUUUGUUCAGAGUAAUGAAGUUUAUUUCCAGUUCUCCAAUUGAGGUGAUAAACGAAUUGAUUUAAGUGGACAAGAUUAUUAUCCCAACCACCUAUAUAUUUAUAAUCGUUAUUACUAAAAGUAGUUUAUUGGUUUAUAUUUUCAUUAUUAAUAUCGAGGGAGGUUUACAGCUGCACUGUUACUUCCAUAUUCAGUAUAUAUUCCAUAUUCAGUAUAUAUUAAUACAGUAUAGUCUAGUUAUUCAUAUAAUUAUAAUAAAGUCUUACAUAUAACAGAAGUUGAAGUUAUACAAAUAUAUAUCAUUCAUUUUUUUUUCAGUAUAGCUUUAUAUUUUAAUUUGUUGCUUUCUAUUUUACCGUAUGUUGUUAUUAUAAUGUUUGCAGAUCUUGUUAGUGCUAUAAUUUCAAUUUCUACUGUAUUGGCUUGAAUGUAUCGAAUGCUUGGCUGUAUGAAGAAGUUUACUGUGCUUAUGAAUUUUAAUUAAUGAAUUAUAUUUAAUUUAUUA